rnacentral:rRNA from 1 species
GACGAACGCUGGCGGCGUGCCUAAUACAUGCAAGUCGAACGCAGUGGGGACGGGUGAGUAAAACGUGGGUAACCUCCCAUCAGAGGGGAUAACACUUGGAAACAGGUGCUAAACCGCUACUGAUGGAUGGACCCGUGGGGCAUUAGCCAGUGGGUGAGGUAACGGCUCACCAAGGCCCCGAUGAAUAGCCGGCCUGAGCGGAGGACCAGCCACACUGGGACUGAGACACGGCCCAGACUCCUACGGGAGGCAGCAGUGGGGAAUAUUGGACAAUGGGGGAAACCCUGAUGCAGCCAUCCCGCGUGUACGAUGAAGGCCUUCGGGUUGUAAAGCACUUUUGGCAGGAAGGCGGUACCUGCAGAAUAAGCACCGGCUAACUCCGUGCCAGCAGCCGCGGUAAUAC